AGAGCAUAGCUCAGUGGUAGAGUGCGUGCUUAACAUGCACGAGGGCCUGGGUUCAAUCCCCAGUACCUCCA
rnacentral:tRNA from 1 species